rfam:Triticum aestivum genome assembly, contig: Triticum_aestivum_CS42_TGACv1_scaffold_545922_6DS
AAAGUACUCCCUCCGUCCCAAAAUUCUUGUCUUAGAUUUGUCUAGAUACAGAUGUAUCAAGUCACAUUUUAGUAUUAGAUACAUCUGUAUCUAGACAAAUCUAAGACAAGAAAUUUGGGACAGAGGGAGUAGUUG